ACGUAUAGCAUGAAUUCGUAGUCCGUAUAAGCGGGAGGAAUAAACGGCGGGCAUGUCACUGCAGACUUGUGAGCGUUAUGGAGCAGAAAUCCAGAUUUGAUGACGAGCUGCAGACUGGAAACACAGAGCGUGAGAGCUGGCUGGUAGUUGAGUCGUAGACUAGAUGUUCUGGCAGUGAAUGGAGCUGCAUGGCAGUAAUAUAUAUCCAGGUGAACAGGUGGAAAAAUUACUCACGUUUAGAAAGAGGACUCCUCUUUCUGCCUUCUCGUAGAUAAAAGAAUUACGAAGAACAGAAUUACGAAGAACCCUAGAGUCGUGAACACUUUCUAGCCAUCCAAUGUUGAUGUUUGUGGAACUAUUGGGGUGGAAGUAUUAAUUGUACAUUAAUAAAGAGAAAAACAUGAUAUCUGAGUAAAGAUAGUGACAGAUACAAAUGGAAAACAACACGUAAUAACGCAAUAACAUGGCAAAAGGCAUAGCAACAACAAGGGAGACAAAUCAUUAUGUAUGUCCUUACCAGUAUUUGUGGUCCACAAUUGCUUGCAAGAUCACAGAAUGCCAUCCCUUGUGAUUAAAGUAAUCCUAAUGGUUCUCAACUGGAGCGAUGACUGGGAUAUGACUCACGUUUAUAGCCCCGGCACACUGAGGGGAAACCCCAUCGAUUUUUAAAUCAUAGAAGUAUGGUUUGGAACUCCUCACCUUCUGGCAGCUUGAUGUACUCGCGCAUCAUCUCAUUUCGUACGGCAUGGCAAAACUCCCGGACUAUUAGGCAUGCUGAUGCCUCACUUAUGCCAAACAGAUGUGCCAGUGUUCGAUAACCAGCUCCUGUUGCGAGCCACCAUAGUCCAACACCAACGCGCUUCUGCACUGAGAUUGCCUGGCGAAAUGUCGGAUCCUCCUAAGAGAGCAUUGGUUCCAACAAUGCGAUCCCACCAGUCUUGAGUCCGUUGCUUCAUCCAAACCUCCCUUUGAACCGAUGUUGCAGAGAUCAUCGCUAAAUUCACCCAGGCUGCAACAAGGGCUCUCCUCUAUUUUCUCCGCCGCCGCACAAGACCAAUGUUUUUGUCAUAGUGCCUCUGGCAGUUUACCUUCCCCCUCCUCUCUUUCCUCUGCUCUGCUGAUUGGAACCGCCUGCCUAUACUCGCCUCAUCACCUGCCUGCCUUCUUAAGGAGAUCCAACCCCAGCAUUCAUCGCCAGUUCGUUACACUCUCCGGUUCCAUUCCACGGGUAUCGCUGGUUCCUCCAUGUCCAGAGCUCUUCGCUCCAUCCUGCUCAGGCCACGGUGUCAUCCUCGUCAUGCUCCGGUCUCGAUCACAGUGGUUUCCUCAAGUCCUCCUCCACGGUCUUUAUCCUCCACGGCACCAUCAUCAUGAACUCCAGCACUGACGCUACCGGCGACCCUUCUGAAUCUACUUACCAUUAUCUUGCAACUAUACGUUAAUUCAUUCUUGGACAUUCGAAAUAAAUCUGUUCCAAGAUUCCCUGGUCUGAGUUUACUUCUGGGUUUCAGCGUCUGGGUCUGGCACGUUGUUGACGUCAUGACAGUUUUGCUGAUAUAAUUGAACGCGACCCAACAGCCACCCAGUCCAAAUCAGUUCGCUACAUUAACGAUGUUAUUAAAAAGAAUCCACAGAAUUAUUGUACUUUG